ACCCUUGACACUUUAUGGAUUGUGAAAC
rnacentral:piRNA from 1 species